GAAUGUUAUCACGGGAGACACACGGCGGGUGCUAACGUCCGUCGUGAAGAGGGAAACAACCCAGACCGCCAGCUAAGGUCCCAAAGUCAUGGUUAAGUGGGAAACGAUGUGGGAAGGCCCAGACAGCCAGGAUGUUGGCUUAGAAGCAGCCAUCAUUUAAAGAAAGCGUAAUAGCUCACUGGUCGAGUCGGCCUGCGCGGAAGAUGUAACGGGGCUAAACCAU
rnacentral:rRNA from 1 species